rnacentral:rRNA from 1 species
AACGAACGUUAGCGGCGCGCUUAACACAUGCAAGUCGUGCGAGAAAGGGCUUCGGCCCCGGUACAGCGGCGCACGGGUGAGUAACACGUAGGUAAUCUGCCCCCAGGUGGUGGAUAACCUUCCGAAAGGAGGGCUAAUACAGCAUAAGACCACGGGUUCGAAAGGACUUGAGGUCAAAGCCGGCCUCUUUACAAAAGCUGGCGCCAGGGGAUGAGCCUGGGGCCCAUCAGGUAGUUGGUAGGGUAAUGGCCUACCAAGCCUAAGACGGGUAGCUGGUCUGAGAGGAUGAUCGGCCACACUGGAACUGAGACACGGUCCAGACUCCUACGGGAGGCAGCAGUGGGGAAUCUUGCGCAAUGGGCGAAAGCCUGACGCAGCGACGCCGCGUGAGUGAUGAAGGCCCUCGGGUUGUAAAGCUCUGUGGAGGGGGACGAAUAAGUGUUGGCUAAUAUCCAGCAUGAUGACGGUACCCCUUUAGCAAGCACCGGCUAACUCUGUGCCAGCCGCCGCCGUAAGAC